GCAAUUCCUGCGUGAGGGGGAAUGAGGCCGGGUCCUCUCCCGGCACCCCCAGCUCAGAUUGGCUUCCCACUGGCAUGUGUGGCCUUUGCUCCUAGAUCCUGGGAUUCACCCCAAGCGUGGAGAACUAAGAUGAUGGAGAAACGGGUAUCUCACCUCCUGUCCGGUCGUGCAGUCCUGUCUCCUUCAUUCCCACUCUGUUCCUCAGUCUCUUCAAGACCUUCUGUCCACUCAGUCUUCUGCUCUCUGCUACUUCAUCGUCACCUUCUUGGCUUUGCUUUGCUGUGUAGUCCAUCUGGAUCCCAUUGUCACCACUUCACUUAAUCACCAGGACCGUCUACUCUCCUGCCCUGUUGCCCUCCGGCCACACUGCACUACACAGCCUGGGCCUGGCACGUUCCAUCUGUCCCCUCCCGCGCCCACUAGCAGGUGCCACUGGAGGGAGUUCACACGCCAAGCGUUGGGUGUCACCUGGGCCCCAAGUGAUGCCUGGAGGGCGUUCUCCACCUCCUCUCCUCUCAGGGCUGUUCUCACCUGUGACUCUGCUCCAGCCCGACCCUGCCCUCCUUUCCUGUCUCACCUGGAGGAUGGCCUCACCUGUCUUUUCUCACACCGGGUUGAGUAUGGAGGCAAAGCUUCAGGUCUGUUUCCCACACUCACCACCUGUUCUUACCUUACUUGGAGGAGAAGGGGUUGCUCCUCCUGUCAUGGGCUAGAUCUUCCGCUGACCGACCUUGCUUACCCAAUAUUGUCCUCAUGACACGUCUUCUAAUGUGCCAUGUUAAUUUGCUUUCAUUUCCCCCCCCCCUUCUACUCCCAGGAGAAUAUAUAUCUUCUAAGGGCAGGGAUUUCACAUCCAUGUGGUUGACCAUGAGAUGAGAAAGUCAUCAUGGUUGAUUCCGAGGGUUUUGGCCUGAGCCCUGGAAGAUUGGAGUUGCCUCUAACUCAGCUGAGGAAGGUCAUUAAUGGAGCAGGUUUGGAGGGAACGUCAGAGAUUCAGUCUGGAUGUGUUAGCACAUUAGACAUCCAUGUGGAGCUGUUGAGUGGGCUGGAGGAUUGUACCAGUUUUAGAGCUGAGGUCAGGGUACAGGGAGAAACACAGGUGUCCUCAGCAUAAGACACUUAGAACCAUGGACAAGAUGAGAGCUACAGGAAGUGACUGUGGAUGGUAAAGAGGAGGCCUUGAACUGAGCUCUGGGGCACUCUGGCGCCCAGACCUCGGGCAGAUGAAGAAAACCCUCAAGGAGAUUGGCAGGAGGAGCCCUGACUGUGAUAAGGAGGAAAACCUGGAGGACACGCUGUCCUGGAUUCCAGUGGCAAGAGUGUUUCCAUGGAGGACGCGACAGGGACCAGCUGUGCCCAUUGCUACUGAACCAGGGACCACAGGGGACAGAGACUAAGGACAACGACCUCCAGAGCCCAGAUGCCCUCGGUGUUUCUUCCACGUGGCACUGUUCUGUGGGAACAGUACCCAGCCUAGCACAUACUGCACACAGGGUUUACCCCUAAAGCGAUCUGUGAAUAUUAAUCCCUUCCGCAAGCUGAUAUCACCAACCCAGCCGUGCACAGAGCCAGGGAACCCCGGCCCUGAACCGUCCAGCCUGGCCCCAGCCUGCUGUGAGCCCCCAGAGGAAUCCCACAGUGCUCUUCAAGCUGCAGCAGGGGGAGCACCGUGGGUAUUUACUGAUAUUUCAUUUUAACCAAUGACCAUCGGGACACAUCAAGGCAGCUGAUGUCGUAGGCAUAUGGGCCCCUGGGAGCUGAUACAUUUUUUCAACCCUGCUCUGCCUGCCAGCUAGUAGACAUGAACAAGUGGAUGAAGGCAUUCUGGAUUUCGUGAAGGUUUCUCAUCUGGCUUUUAAAAAACCCAUCAACGCUGGAAAACCCAAGGCCUCUGUGAGCAUACCAUGGCCUUUAAAGAGAGUCCUGUGCCUGGAACCCCUGAAAUAUAUACUGGGGUUAAUACACUUAAAGGUGGCUUCAGAAGCAAAGUAACAUCGAGGCCCUAAUUCCGGAACUGGCCCUGCCCGUCUGUCACUGUCUUCCGGUGGGGUGGCAGCCAUGGGAUCCGAAGGCGACUUCUGAUUUCAGGCUCCCUCCUUGUGGUUGGUCUGUCCGACUUGAUUCAGGACUUGGGCAAGGACACAUUGUCCUUCUGGGACAGCUGUUGCCUUCUUGUUUGUCUCAUUUUGUGUCCUGAGAACUUGGCUCGGCGACCGUCAGGUUGGGCAGGUAUAACAGAAAUGUUAAAAAGCGUAUUACAGCCUGACACUGACACCCCUCAUGACCUACUUCCUGGAGAAUACAGCCACUGGAAAAGACCCCAACUAAAGGACUCCUGCUUCCCUCCUUGGAAAGGAUCUUUUCUGGUACUGCUCGCCAGUUCCUGCACAGCUGAAUUUGAAGGCAUCCGGCCCACCUGAAAGGAGUAACAGGACCAGAAUGAACCAGCAAAGCCACAGGUGAUCUCACACUUAAGAUCUCCCGGCACCAGAAGCAGACAACCUCGGACAUAGAUAGACAGCUAUCCCAAGACAACGGGCCAGGCCUGUGUAACUUAACUUGAUUUCCGCCACUGUUCUCUUUACUGUGGAAAUCAUGAUAGGGGAAGUUAACCAGACUCCUCCACUUAUCUGUUUUCUCUCCGGGUUGCCCGUGUCUUCCAGGCAAUUGCCAAGCGAGGUAACCUUUCAGACGCUGUAUUUGUCAUUUAAAACUCCGAUCUGUCUGUAAGGUUGGAGACUCCCCGGUCCUUCCUGUAACCUGAUUUUCCUUCUAUCAUCCUUGGUGCCACCUUAAGCAACAGCUGAAGUCCCUUCGAUGUCAGCUACAGUGUUAAACUUUUGCAGCCCGGUCUCUCAGUGCCUUAUUUUUACCUUUCUCCGAUCAUAACUCUCCUUGCCCUGUCUGACACAAAUGCCUUGUACACCGUAGUACAUUUGUGCCCCCAUGUUCUAAAUCAGAUUUCAGAGGAUUUGUCUCUUACCUUCUGAAGAUGUUACACUGCUUAGGUUUAUUGUUCAGUUACAUGGGAAGCGUUGCCAACUAAGUGAUGAUAAAUCUUCUUGGGUUAUUUGUAUUUUAAUAACACUUAAUUAUUAAUAUAAUUAAGUGUUCUAGAAAUUGUGUGAAAUGCCUAGAAAUCUGAUAUGUCUUGGUAUAAGGUUAUCAGUCAUAAUUCUGGUUAUCUUAAAAUAUUGUCUGUCAAUCACAGAAAUAACCAAAUUUCCUUGUCAAUUCCAUUAUAAUGAACUCUCAUCAGAUCUUUAGCACUGGGCAUUUUUAAGUUCUUUUGUCAUUGACAGACAGUUAUUGUUUUACUCUGACGCUUUUGCAAAAGUGAGAUUCAUGGCAAGGAACCUACCAAGAACUCUUGACCACCACAUGGCUGCCACAUCACAAGGGGCCAAACCUUGGGUACGUAUUUCACACCUGAUGAAGGCUCCACCUGACUUCCGGUCCCCUGCAAAAAAGCUGCAGCCCUCAAACCAAUCAAACCGACCAGCCACCAUCGAGACAGACAGACAGACUGCUUCCUCCCAACAUGUCAGACCAAGAGCGUGUCUGCCUUUCCAUUCUGCCUUCCCUCUCUGACCGUCCUUUUCCUAAUUCUCAUGCUGUGAAGGUUUUUAUGAUUCUUGCUGUCCAUCUUUUUUGCUUUGCUCUGGCCUGGAAAGAUAAUGCCACUGUUCACAUAUCUAAGGCCAUUGCAAAGCGGGCUAAAUCUAACCUCAAAGACUCUGAAUUAUCACGAUGCCAGUGAUUACACUGUUCUGUCCAUCACAGACUGCUCCCUGAUUUCCAAUGCCUCCGUUUCUCUGGACCUUUCUGUUGUGUCCCACUCCCUAACCCUGGGGAUCUACUUCCUUGUCUCUGGUUAACACCCCGGGGGAACCCUGCAUCCAGGCUCUGUACAAAGAAAGGGACGCGAGGCAAGGGAAAGAGAAUAAAACCACCUGUGCUGUCUACAGACCCUUCAGGUGUACUGGCCUCCACGGCUGUCACCUUUUGGGGCCCGAGCCACAGAUGGAAACGGGAAUUACCGGGAAGCAUUCAGUGGUUCAAAAUCUGCUUCCUUUGGUGCAGCCCUACUCCGCCGGCCAGGAGCUGAUACAAAUGAGGCCACGACCAGGAAUCUCUCCUUACCUCUUGAAGGUUCCAGAAUCUGCUGGUAAAGCAGCAGCUGCCCAAUGAAAAUCCCUAGACUCUCUGGCCAGAGUUGUUCUUGAAAAUAAGAGAAGCCUCUGGUUGAUUAUCCUUCAGCUGAACAAGGAGAUGCCUGUGCUGUGACCAGCACCGCCUGCUGCACCUGGAUCAACACUGCUGGGGAAGGUGAGACUACUGAACAAACCAGUCACUCUCUCAGGCCAACAAACCAGCCCACGGGAUCUUUCUUUGGGGAUUAUUCUGCCUGUAAUACUACAGCAGUCGCCGUAGUGUGCUGUAUUCUCGCAAAAGCUUUAAAUGCAACUUUGCAGCCGCUAGCUACCAAGCAAAUGAUCUCCCUCAGAACAGAACAUCAGAAAAGGAACAAAGGGAAUGACCGACUGAAAGACCAUGAACCCAGUGCCGUGACCUGUGAAGACCACACAGAGAUUCAGCAAAAAAAACCCGGUAAGAACUCCACAGCCAUAGCUGGGAGUAGCGCUAAUGCCUUAAACUUUGAUCACUUCUCUUAAUUAGGCUCAGAGUCUGAUGAAAAGGGGGUAAUUGUUAAAAACAAGACAGCAGACCCAAAAUGAAGUCGCUUAGGCUAGGUUCCAUAUCACCAAACCGAGACUUAACUUUAUAGUUUCAGCUCCCCCAGAAAGGAAUCUUUAACCAGUCAAAUCGGGACUCACCGGAUCAGCACGUCUGCCCGACAGACCCCUGCCGUCCCCUAACGGAGAGCGACUGGGCUACAACCAACCCGCUUUUUCACCUGGUGUAACUUCCUCGUUCCCGCUCCUUUCUGCCUGCAUGUCUUUCGUUUCGUACAGCUCCUUUCUAUCUGCCGGACCGGAGGCUGCCUGAUUCAUGAAUCACUGAAAUAAAGCCAGUAAGCUCUCUCAAA